rnacentral:rRNA from 1 species
UACGUAGGGUGCAAGCGUUGUCCGGAAUUAUUGGGCGUAAAGAGCUCGUAGGCGGUUUGUCGCGUCUGCCGUGAAAGUCCGGGGCUCAACUCCGGAUCUGCGGUGGGUACGGGCAGACUAGAGUGAUGUAGGGGAGAGUGGAAUUCCUGGUGUAGCGGUGAAAUACGCAGAUAUCAGGAAGAACACCCGUGGCGAAGGCGGCUCUCUGGGACGGUACUGACGCUGAGACGCGAAAGCGUGGGGAGCGAACAGG